rnacentral:rRNA from 1 species
GGAGUUAGCCGGUGUUUCUUCUGUGAGUGAUGUCCUUCCUGCCGGCUAUUAACCCGCAGGCCUUCUUCCUCACUGAAAGUGCUUUACAACCCGAAGGCCUUCUUCACACACGCGGCAUGGCUGGAUCAGGGUUGCCCCCAUUGUCCAAUAUUCCCCACUGCUGCCUCCCGUAGGAGUCUGGGCCGUGUCUCAGUCCCAGUGUGGCUGAUCAUCCUCUCAGACCAGCUACGGAUCGUCGCCUUGGUGAGCCGUUACCUCACCAACCAGCUAAUCCGACAUAGGCUCAUCCGAUAGCGCGAGGCCCGAAGGUCCCCCGCUUUCCCCCGUAGGGCGUAUGCGGUAUUAGCCUGGGUUUCCCCAGGUUAUCCCCCACUACCGGGCAGAUUCCUAUGCAUUACUCACCCGUCCGCCGCUCGCCACCAGGGAGCAAGCUCCCCGUGCUGCCGCUCGACUUGCAUGUGUUAGGCCUGCCGCCAGCGUUCAAUCUGAGCCAGGAUCAAACUCUGA